GUGGGGGGGAGGGGUGGAGAUCCGUGCUGCUGGAAUAAAAUAAGAUCAAGCGGAAAAUAAAUAAAUAAAAAAAAACCCUAUGUAUAUAUAGGUAGCUAAAGAUCUCCCUCCCUCCCCGCCUGCCUCCUCCCCUCCCCCGAGACGGGCAGCUCCGAUCCUGCAGAAACGCCUGAAACUGUUUCAGACCAAGGUACUGAGUUUGAACUGCACAGAGAGCUUCAGCAAGUCAAAAGAAAAGCAGGAUUUGAAGAAAUCUUCACCAGUUUUCAUGACUGUUAUUACACUUGGGGCUACCAGUUGCAGAGCUAAGAUUCAGAGUCUGGAAAAUCCAGGAUCGGCCUGAAGCUCUGUAGCUAUGAUGUGGGGAAAAUUGUAUUUUCCAAAUGCAUGAGUGCGAGCUACAGAGGAGACCCGGCUGCCCAAGCAGACGGUUGUAAAGGAGACUGAAGCUUUUGUCCGUGGCAACACUUAAUUCACAUCUACAAAGAAAAGCAAUAACGUUCUCUACACAGAAAUGUUGAGAUCUUCCCCGACCGUUCCUAAGGAUGGCAGCCAAACCCAGUGAUAGAGAGAGCUCUAUAUUUUGUGACAGAAUUUUUUUCUAAACAAAAAUGCCAGUUCCUUGGAAAUUAACUGCUUCUCAGGAAUAUGGCAAUUCCAGCAAAAUUCCUAUGAAAACCAGACAGGUCUGAUCAUAAAUUUACCUGGUUUCCUUCUAGCUUGCCAAAUGAAUUCCUCCGCAAUUCCUCUGGCAAAUUGCUCAAGACUCAAAAGCCUGAAAACCAGCUCUCGGGUUUGGGGCUUCAGAACUGCUCAACAAACGGACUCCCUAAUGCCACAGAUGCUCAGAAGGACCAGUGUUCCAACCCUUCCUACGCUGCUGCCGUUUUCCCGACGUUGUGGGGAGCUUGUAAAAGCAGCUGAAAAAAAAAAAGCUACGAUUCCUUCAAAAGAAAAAUUUGGACCUUCUACUCCACCUGGAAUUUCACCACUUCAUUCCACAUUUCUGCUUUAGAAGGAUCUUAUGUGCAUGUGUGUACAAUUUUUAGUUUUUCAGGAAACUGGGUUUCUGGGUUUGAACCAAUCUAGAAUCCUAGACAACUCUCAAAAUGAUUGGGAGUGCUUAAAAUAUGUGUCCAUACAGUGAAAAAUCCCUAAUUCAUAUGUAAAAAAUCUGAAUUCUAACUAUUGUAGAAAUCCUUGGGCCUGGAAUACUUCAACUGCAGAGACUCAACAUACUAAAGACCUCAGAGAGAUA